CUUUUAUCUGAUAUUUUAAGUUUUGUAAAGUGCUUUACAAAUAUCUCAUCUGAUCCUCACAAGAACCCUAGGAGAUAGAUGUUAUUGUCUCCAUUAUUUUCUUUCUUUCUUUCUUUCUUUCUUUCUUUCUUUCUUUCUUUCUUUCUUUCUUUCUUUCUUUCUUUCUUUCUUUCUUUCUUUCUUUCUUUCUUUCUUUCUUUCUUUCUUUCUUUCUUUCUUUCUUUCUUUCUUUCUUUCUUUCUUUCUUUCUUUCUUUCUUUCUUUCUUUCUUUCUUUCUUCCUUUCUUCCUUUCUUCCUUCCUUCCUUCCUUCUUUCUUUCUUUCUUUCUUUGUUUCAUUCAGUCAAUCUUUCUAUAGUUCUUUCUGUCUUUCUUUCUUUCUUUCUUUCUUUCUUUCUUUCUUUCUUUCUUUCUUUCUUUCUUUCCUUCCUUCCUUCCUCCCUCCUUCCCUCCUUCCCUCCCUCCCUCCCUCCCUCCCUCUCUCUCUCUCUCUCUCUCUCUCUCUCUCUCUCUCUCUCUCUCUCUCUCUCUCUCUCUCUCUCUCUCUCUCUCUCUCUCCUUCCUUCCUUCCUUCCUUCCUUCCUUUCUUUCUUUCUUUCUUUCUUUCUUUCUUUCUUUCUUUCUUUCUUUCUUUCUUUCUUUCUUUCUUUCUUUCUUUCUUUCUUUCUUUCUUUCUUUCUUUCUUUCUUUCUUUCUUUCUUUCUUUCUUUCUUUCUUUCUUUCUUUCUUUCUUUCUUUCUUUCUUUCUUUCUUCCUUUCUUUCUUCCUUUCUUUCUUCCUUUCUUUCCACCCAUGCAUCCAUUCAUCUAUGUAUGUAUGUAUGU
rnacentral:lncRNA from 1 species